GAUGAACGCUGGCGGCGUGCCUAAUACAUGCAAGUCGAGCGAACGGACGAGAAGCUUGCUUCUCUGAUGUUAGCGGCGGACGGGUGAGUAACACGUGGAUAACCUACCUAUAAGACUGGGAUAACUUCGGGAAACCGUAGCUAAUGCCGGAUAAUAUUUUGAACCGCAUGGUUCAAAAGUGAAAGACGGUCUUGCUGUCACUUAUAGAUGGAUCCGCGCUGCAUUAGCUAGUUGGUAAGGUAACGGCUUACCAAGGCAACGAUGCAUAGCCGACCUGAGAGGGUGAUCGGCCACACGGGGACUGAGACACGGUCCAGACUCCUACGGGAGGCAGCAGUAGGGAAUCUUCCGCAAUGGGCGAAAGCCUGACGGAGCAACGCCGCGUGAGUGAUGAAGGUCUUCGGAUCGUAAAACUCUGUUAUUAGGGAAGAACAUAUGUGUAAGUAACUGUGCACAUCUUGACGGUACCUAAUCAGAAAGCCACGGCUAACUACGUG
rnacentral:rRNA from 1 species